rnacentral:lncRNA from 10 species
GUCAUGUCAUUGCUCACAAAUCUUCAGAUUUUGGAGCAUUUUGGAUUUCAGAUUUUUGGAUUAGGGAUGUUCAACCUAUAAUGGCCUGUUUUUCUUACAAUCGACUAAUAGAGAUUUAGGUGGGACGAUGCCUGGAGUCUCUUCUGUGACUCCAAGGUGGGUGUUUAACAUAUUAACAGUUGUUUUAUCAAUGGCUCCUUAAAUUCAAGAGAGGAAUGGUCACCUGCCCUAUCACCAAGAUUCAAGUUGAACACACGACCUGGUCUUCUGUCUACCACCAGGAGCCUGCAGCUCCUGCUCAAGUUGGCUUUAGGAUUCAAAUAAGAAAGUCUACCUUUGCCAGAAAGCAGGGACGAUGCAUCCUUCUUCAAGGCCAGCCCCAAGCAGACUCUUUAGACCUGAGGUCAAACUGUAAAAUGAACAAUUAUCUUUCCUGCUAGACAGGCUCCCCCUGAAGUCCUGCCCUACCCUAAUCUCUGAGCAUCUCACCUGCCCUGGACACACUGCUUUGGUAGAAGGAGCACCUCAUUGUUAUCAACACCCACCAGACAGCACUGCAAUCUAGUUUUCCAUUCAUUUCAGCCUACUCUCCAUAUCUGUCCCAUUGAGCUCAACAGAAGGUUUCUUCAUAUUUGAAGCUGAGGAGAGAGCUUAGAGAUCUUUCACACAAGAAAUAACCAAUAUAAAUUUGAUGCAUGCAUGAAUGCAUAGAUUCAACUAUACUCUUAUUUAAAAGAAACAACCUUCUGUGACUGGCCAGAGUAAUUCCAGAGUAAACAGAAACAGAACUGAGACUCCUGCCCAUGAGGACAGAUUUCACAGUCUACUUCUGCAUGGUUCAUUAAUUUAUAAUUUGUGAAAUUAGCAAGAGAAGAGCCUAAAGAAAAUACAAAAAGAAAAUGAAUGAUUUAUUUGAUCUACCUUUUGGGUUCCCAACUCUCUCUCUAUUAUUGAUUCUUGAUUAUCUAAGUUAAAAUGAGCAAGGAAUAAACAAAUCCCAGGUAAUAUUAUAUUCAUUUUAGUCAACUAAUUAAACUACUCAUCAACCAUUUGUCAGAGCUGCAAUGCAAGGAAAAGCUACUCAUCAACCUUUUAUUAAUUUAAUUGUUAAAUUGACUCUUUGAGUUUCAUCUCUCUACUCUUAGAACAAUGUGGCCCAGAAAGGCCAGAGAAUAACAAAAUAGAAAAGCAAAAUGUCCAAAUAGUCUACACACUGGAUAAUUGUCCUGUUAAUAAUUAAAGUUUAGGGGAGCUCUAGAGUUGGUAUAAGAACACCUCUGCGGUAGGAUGAAAAGUGGCCUCCAAAAAAUAUCUACAUCCUAAUCCUUGGAACCUGUGAAUGUUACCUGAUGUGGUAAGAAAAAGGGGGCUUUGCAGAUGUGAUUAAGGAUCUUGAGAUCACGAGAUGGUCCCGGGCUAUGCAGGUGGCUCUAAGUGCAAUAACCUGUAUCCUCAUAAGAGGGAAGCAGAAAGAAAUCUGACACAAGAAAAGAAGGAAAUGUGAAGAUGGAGCAGAGAGAGACUCGAUAAUGCUGAUCUGGAUGAUGGGAGAGAUGCAGCCACAAGCCAAGGAAUACCAGAGCCACCAAAAGCUGAAAGAUGCCAGGAAUGGAUCCUGCCUUAGAGCCUCUGGAUGGAGCGUAGCCCUGCAAACACCCUGAUUUUGGCCCAGUGAUACUGAUUUUGGACUUCUGGAGUCCAAAAUUGUGAGAAAAUAAAUUUCUGUUGUUUUAAGCCACUAAGU